AUAUUACGUUGAAGCAUCGGUUUCCGUACGAUCACCGAAGUUAAGCAACAUCGAGCCUGGUCAGUAUCUAGAUGGGUGACGGCUUGAGAAUACCAGGCGUUGUAAG